rnacentral:rRNA from 1 species
CCUGGCGGCACUAGCGCGGUGGUCCCACCUGACCCCAUCGCCGAACUCAGAAGUGAAACGCCGUAGCGCCGAUGGUAGU